AUUGAACGCUGGCGGCAGGCCUAACACAUGCAAGUCGAGCGAGCGGCGGACGGGUGAGUAAUGUCUGGGAAACUGCCUGAUGGAGGGGGAUAACUACUGGAAACGGUAGCUAAUACCGCAUACCAUCAGAUGUGCCCAGCUGGGAUUAGCUAGUAGGUGGGGUAACGGCUCACCUAGGCGACGAUCCCUAGCUGGUCUGAGCGGAGGACCAGCCACACUGGAACGGAGACAGGGUCCAGACUCCUACGGGAGGCAGCAGGGGGGAAUAGGGAACAAUGGGCGAAAGCCUGAUGCAGCCAUGCCGCGUGUGUGAAGAAGGCAUUCGGGUUGUAAAGCAAUUUCAGCGGGGAGGCGUUACCCGCAGAAGAAGCACCGGCUAACGCCGUGCCAGCCGCCGCGGUAAUAC
rnacentral:rRNA from 1 species